GUGGAUGUUGGUGACAAUUGGUCCACUGUAGGAGUAGGGUGUGCACCUAGACGGGAUCUAUCGACCCUAGUAGAAGAGAGUAGUCCUAUGGGAUUUAAGAAGUUAAGUCUUUAAGUUUAUAGCCAUAGCAUUGUGAUUAAUGAAAAAGAGUUUUCAUAAAAAUCAUACAUGGACUCGAGUUGAUUGAAUCUAUCAUAUGACCGAUGAUGAGGUUUGACAAUUCAUCUAUGACUUGCCAUCUAGUUGAGACUCACAAUAGAGGGACUGUAUCAUACAU
rnacentral:lncRNA from 1 species